rnacentral:rRNA from 1 species
UACAGAGGUCCCGAGCGUUGUUCGGAUUUAUUGGGCGUAAAGGGUGCGUAGGCGGCGGAGUAAGUUGGGUGUGAAAUCCCGGGGCUUAACCUCGGAAUUGCAUUCAAUACUGCUUCGCUUGAGUACUGGAGAGGAGGCUGGAAUUCCCGGUGUAGCGGUGAAAUGCGUAGAUAUCGGGAAGAACACCAGUGGCGAAAGCGCUCUACUGGGCCAUAACUGACACUGAGGGACGAAAGCUAGGGGAGCGAAAGGG